AUGGCCUGGACCUCUCUCCUCCUGGGCCUCCUAGCUCACUGCACAGGCUCUGUGGUCUCCUAUGAGCUGAAUCAGCCACCCUCAGUGUCGGUGUCUCUGGGACAGACAGUCAAGAUGACGUGUCAGGGAGACAACAUAAGUAAUAAAUAUGCUCACUGGUACCAGUGGCAUCCAGGCCAGGCCCCUGUGAUGGUAAUGUAUGAGGAUAGCACAGGGCCCUCAGGGAUCCCUGACCGGUUCUCUGGCUCCAACUCGGGGAACACAGCCACCCUGACCAUCAGCGGUGCCCGGGCCGAGGACAAGGCUGACUAUUACUGUCAGGUGUGGGACAGCAGCAGUAAACAUCCACAGUGA